UACGGAGGGAGCUAGCGUUGUUCGGAAUUACUGGGCGUAAAGCGCACGUAGGCGGCUUUUUAAGUCAGGGGUGAAAUCCCGGGGCUCAACCCCGGAACUGCCCUUGAAACUGGAGAGCUAGAAUCUUGGAGAGGCGAGUGGAAUUCCGAGUGUAGUGGUGAAAUGCGUAGAGAUCCGGAGGAAUACCAGUGGCGAAGGCGGCACGCUGGGCCAUAACUGACGCUAAGACUCGAAAGCAUGGGUAGCGAACGGG
rnacentral:rRNA from 1 species